AUGGAAAGCUUCGCUAUGAUUUGCCAAAAUGACGAAGUAUAUUGUGAAAGAACUCGAGCACGUGUCCUCCAAGUGAGCAAUUUAAAUUGGAAAGAAUAUGAUAAAUUUGGAAAUG
rnacentral:ribozyme from 1 species